AGAGGGCAUCAAAGCCGUUAUUGCAAAGCUCAGAUAUACUCUGAAUAGCUAGCUAGCAGCAUGCAGCAAACGAAGCAGCAAACAAAGUCCUCAAGAUGCGCUGUGGUCGGCUGCACAGAUCCUCACAGAUCUAUACAUCAUGUUCCAGCCUCAGAAGAGACAAGAGCGAAAUGGAUUGAUUUCAUUUUUGAAGGCAAUGUCCCGGAAAGAAUUGGCAAAAUUCUGUUUGUGUGCGCAAACCAUUUUGAAUUGGACUGUUUUGCCAACCUGGGUGAAUAUAACGCUGGACUCGCAACAAGAUUGACCUUGCAAGCGGGUUCAGUACCAUCUAUCCGUCGCAUUUCAGACGAGGGAAAUGGACACCAGCCUUCAGCAGAUUAGAGAAGGUGUUGACCAACAAGAGGGUUCUGAAAGAUGUGGGGAAGCUGAGCCCUCACUACCAGACCUCGUCGUUGGAGUCUUUCCACAGCGUCAUUCUGCGUUUUGCGCCCAAAAACGUAGUCUUUCCUUUUCUUGGAAUGUUAUGCAGACUCUACCUGGCAGUCCUGCAUUUCAAUGAAAAUGCUGGGC